AUUGAACGCUGGCGGCAUGCCUUACACAUGCAAGUCGAACGGCAGCACGGGAGCAAUCCUGGUGGCGAGUGGCGAACGGGUGAGUAAAGUAUCGGAACGUGCCCAGUCGUGGGGGAUAACGUAGCGAAAGUUACGCUAAUACCGCAUCCGAUCUAUGGAUGAAAGCGGGGGAUCGUAAGACCCCGCGCGACUGGCGCGGCCGAUAUCAGAUUAGGUAGUUGGUGGGGUAAAGGCUCACCAAGCGGACGAUCUGUAGCUGGUCUGAGAGGACGACCGGCCACACUGGGACUGAGACACGGCCCAGACUCCUACGGGAGGCAGCAGUGGGGAAUUUUGGACAAUGGGCGAAAGCCUGAUCCAGCCAUGCCGCGUGCAGGAUGAAGGCCUUCGGGUUGUAAACUGCUUUUGUACGGAACGAAAAGGUUUGGGCUAAUAAGCUGAGCUCAUGACGGUACCGUAAGAAUAAGCACCGGCUAACUACGUGCCAGCCGCCGCCGUAAUAC
rnacentral:rRNA from 1 species